GUGGUCAUUGAAAUGAGAGAUGGUUGGCAUCUUCCCUGACAGGGAUGGGAAUAGACUUUGGGUUACCAUUUAACACACAGUUUGAAUUUCAAAUUGUCCAGAAAUGAAAAAAAGGAAAAUUUGUUCCAAUAUCUUUU